UACAUAUGACGAGACACAGCACUGGGCACUGAGGCAUUUUUCAAAGGAAAGAAGCCACGUGAGUGACACCGCUUGUAGUGGGCUUAGAAACCCCACGUUACUGAUCUG
rnacentral:snoRNA from 1 species